GCUGCGCCGCGCCGCGCCGCGCGCGCCGGGGGUCCCGCCGGAACCCCCGGACCACGCCCCCACCCCGUCGGCGCCGGGGCUGGGGGAUCCGGAGAGUCAGGCCGGGCGGGCGGGAGCGGCCGGGGAGCCUGCCCCUCAUUCGAGCUCAUUCCCUCCGAGCCUGGGAGCCCCUUCCUGCGCCCUUGUGGGCUCCACCUUUCCCGGCUCAAGAGGACUUGGAGCCGCUUAUCUCCUGGAACCUCUUGGGAGCCCAGGCUUUGCAGACCCCCAGCCCACGACCCUUGGCCGAGCUGGGAUAGGGGUCGCAGCCUGCCGCCCACCCUUGACUGUCCCUGCCCAGAACGGUUCCAAGCCCAUCCGCUACCCGCUUUGGGAUCUCCCGGACCCAGCCAGCACGCGCUCGUCUUCUCCCCAGCCGUCUCGUCCCCAGCCAGCCCUGGUACACGUGGCGGAGGCUUCCUGAGGACCGGCCACUGAAGGCCGGGACUGAUCCUGGGGAGUGGGGCCAGGGAUCGUUGGGGCGCCUUGGAGGCGGUGGGGUUCCAUGUCCUUUGGCGCAGGCAGCAGGGGCCAGGGGACUGGUCACCAGAGUGGGGGCCCUCAGGGCCAGUCGCCAGCCCUCUCAGCGCCGCCUUUCACCCAGACCUGCUCAGCCUAUUACUGCACAGUGGCCACUUCUCCCCAAGGACAGCUGUCCCCAAGGCUCCUGGGGAAGCUGGAGCUGCAGCAGAGGCGUUUUCCCCAUAGGUUCUGGAGGAGGGGGAGAUAGGAGGAUGAGGACCUCGGCUGCCUGAGAAACUCCACUCUGGCCGAGCUCUCCCGGCUGGUGGAGCUGCCCUGGGUGGAAUCCCAGCAUUUGUUUCCCAGACAUCUGUUUUGGAUACCUUGUUUUUUUCCUCUUUGAAAUGGGGUCAGUGAUUUCUUUCUUAUUAGUGACUUGUUGGGAGGCUUAUGUGGGGUAACUCAUUGGCUUGCCUAGCACAGGGCUGGCAUAGGAGAGGGACUGAUAGUUGGGGUGACGGUUCAGGUGGGUCGCCUCUCGAUGUCCAGAAGACCUUGAGCACCGCGUCCGCCUGCACUUACUUUCGUGCCCUUUAGAGUUUCAUCACCGUGUUCUUCAUGCUCCCUUGAGAGCCGGAGGCCCUGAGAGCAGUGGCCAGGUGUCCUUUAACUCCAUGUCUCCAGGGCCCCACCCAUGCUGGGCACAGGGAGGAGCUGGGGAGGCCUGCCGGGUGACUGGUCCUGAGCCAAGUCCCAAGGUCCGAGUCCCUCCCUUGUGCCAGGCCUGGAGCCAGCUGGGCACAGGGGCGAUUGGGGUGAUGUGAAAGUGAAUCAGACUCUCUAGCCUCCGACCAGUGCGGGGUUAAGUCCUGGAAAGUCUCCUUGUCCCACCAGGCCUGGACUCUGGUAGGAGGAAUGGCCAGGGAGGAGUCUUCCUGUUCCCUCCCUGUUGCGGCCACCUCCUGGGGCGCUUCAACAGUCCUACCAUUCAGGACCUCCUGUUGAGGCCCUUCGAGGGGCCUUGGUGGGGUGUACCGUGCGUUAGGUGGGGUUUUUCCUCUCCUCAUCCCCAGUGCUGGGCCUGCCUGUCUUCCUGUCUCCUGGGCUGAGAAUUGCCAGCCCACCCACUGUCCCCUGGCGUGUUACAGGGGAGGGGACUGAGACAACAGGUGAUGUGUCCUUUACUGGAGAGAGUUGGAUUUGUUUUCUGGAUAUCAGGCUGGAUGGAAGGUGUGCCCACUCAGAGCCUGCUAGCCUCUCUCUUCUCAACACUUCAGUGCUAUUUAUAACCCUCUUUAAAUGCCUCAAAUUCCUGGUUCAGGCUCACCUGUGGGGAGUUCCUAAUGUGGAGGUGGGGGGGGGGUUGGAAGUGGGCUGCCGGGAAUCCUCCAGCCUCCUCCAGAGGAAGUGAGCUGCCUUAGAAUCCCGGUUGGAGGGGAAUGAGGGCAUGUCUUUGCCACCUCCAGUCGUCCAUGCACCUUCCUCACCCCACCCAAGGAGCUGGAGGUUCUCUCAAGCCUGCAAUUAAAAUUGCAGAGCCCUCCCUACCUGAGACCUUAUUCUCUGCCCCAGUAAAAAUGUCAGAGUUAGGAACAUCCCUUGCCACAGUGCUCUGAGCUCCCAGGCCUGCUAGGGCUCUGAGGUUCGACCUGCAGUUUCAUGCCCACCCCGAGCAGGUGAGCAGGUGAAUGCCAGCCUGUGUGCAAGUCCUGGCAAAGGUCAGGCGUGCUCCUGGCCACGGUGCUGUUUUGCUGCCACGGCACCUUUCAUCCUGGGAUUUCAAAGCCCCUGGCAAGCAGAGGCUUGUUUCCACACUGGGAGCCCUGUGGGGCUGGUGGGAGGGUGACUCCCUCCUCCUUAUAUGAGGGAGCAGGCGGAGAGGAAGAAGCACUGGCCCGGGAGCAGGGAGGCCUGAGGAUCCUUGGGCAGGCCACUUUUCCUCUCCCUGAGUCUGGGUUUCCCUUGUUGUGAACCCAAGUGGGUGGGUUACUCAAUGGCUGAAGUUACUUUCAGCUCUGAGGGCCUAACAAUCCUAAAUUUUCCCUCCAAAUCUCCCCCAGACUGAAGCGAGCUCAAGGUUCCAGUACAACCCCUGCAAACAUGGACUAACAUCUUUUUGUUUUGUUUUGUUUUGAGACGGGGUCUUGCUCUGUCACCCAGGCUGGAGUGCAGUGACAUCGUCAUAGCUAACUGCAGCCUCAACCUCCUGGGCUCAAGCAAUCCUCCCACCUCAGCCUCCCAAGUAGCUGGGACUAUAGCUUUGCACCACCAUGCCUAGCUCUGUGUGUGUGUGUGUGUGUGUGUGUGUGAGAGAGAGAGAGAGAGAGAGAGAGACAGAGAGAGAGACAGGGUCUUUCUGUGUUUCCCAGGCUGGUCUUGAACUCCUGGGUUCAAGCAAUCCUUUGGGAUCAAGCAAGCCUCCUUUGGGAGCCUUGGCCUCCCAAAGUGCUAGGAUUACAGUUGGGAGCUUCCUGUCCCUGAAGUAACAUCUUUUUUAUUUUAUUUUAUUUUUUUGAGACAGAGUCUGGCUCUCUCUCCCAGGCUGGAGUGCAGUGGCACUGGCACAGUCUCGGCCUGCUGCAACCUCCACCUCCUGGGUUCAAGCAAUUCUCCUGCCUCAGUCCCCUGUUACAGGUACACACCACCAUGCCUGGCUAAUUUUUGUAUUUUUAGUAGAGAUGGGGGUUUCACCAUAUUGGUCAGGCUGGUCUCAAACUCCUGACCUCAGGUGAUCCACCUACCUCACCCUCCCAAAGUGCCAGCAUUACAGGGUGAGCCACCACACCCAGCCAAAAAUAACAGGUUUAUUGAGGCAUAAUUUGCCUACCAUACAAUUCACUCACCUAAAGUGUACAUUUCCAUGGUUUUUAGUAUAUUCACAGAAUUGUGCAGCCAUUGCCACCUGUGGGGAGUUAGUGUUUUCAUCAGCCCUGAAAGAAAUCCCCUGCUCUUUCUUUAGUAGCGCUCCUGUUUCUUCCCAGUCCUUCCCAACUCUAGGCACCCACCGAACAUUUUGUCUAAUUGCAAAAGUAAUGUGUGCACAGGCCAGGGGGGUAGCUCACGCCUUAAUCUCAGCACUUUGGGAGGCCGAAGAGGGUGGAUUGCUUGAGCUCGGGAGUUCAAGACCAGCCUGGGCAACAUGGCAAAACCCCGUCUCUAGUAAAAAUACAAAAAAUUAGCUGGGCAUGGUGGUGUGCGCCUGGGCUUCCAGCUACGUGGGAGGCUGAGUUGGAAGGAUUGCCUGAGCAAAAGUAAUGCACAUACAAACAAUGUAGGAGGAUAAAGUAAAAAACGAAAGCACCCUCCAUCUUUCUUCCUUGAAUCCCACUCCCCAGAAGUAAUCACUUAAGUGUGGUGUGUCACUGUUUCCAAACCUACCUCUCUCUGUACAUGCUCACAGUACUUUGGUUUAUAAAAAGAGUUUUGUUUUUUUUUUUUUGAGACAGAGUCUCACUCUGUUGCUCAGGCUGUAGGGCAGUGGCACCAUGUUGGCUCACAGCAACCUCUGCCUCCCAGGUUCAAGUGCUUCUCCUGCCCCAGCCUCCUAAGUAGCUGGGAUUACAGGCAUGCUCUACCAUGCCAGGCUAAUUUUUGUAUUUUUAAUUGAGACUGGAUUUCACCAUGUUGGCCAGGCUGGUCUCAAACUUCUGACCUUGUGAUCCGCCCACUUCAGCCUCCUAAAGUUCUGGGAUUACAGGCGUGAGCCACCACACCCAGCCUAUAAAAAAUAGAUCUUAUUCUAUGCUUCUGUGGUUUGAUUUUUUUCACUUGGUAAAUUGGGGGCCCUCUUUCUGUGUCAGAACACACAGGACUACCUCGGUCUUUUCUUGAUGAGUUCAUUCCUGUGCAUGGAUGGUUCGUUUACCCAGCCCCCUGUGAGUGGGCAUUUGGGUUGUUUCCAGUGUUUUGCUAGUAUUCACGGUGCUGCUUGAACCUCCUAUAAUAUUCCAUAUAGGAGAGGCCCUGAAAUAGAACUCCUGGGUCACCUUUUUUUUUAUUAUUUUUUGAGACGGAGUCUAGCUCUGAUUGCCCGGGCUGGAGUGCAGUGGUGCUAUGUUGGCUCACUGCAACCUCUGCCUCCUGCAUUCAAGCAAUUCUCCUGUCUCAGCCUCCCGAGUAGCUGGGACUACAUGCGCCUGCUUCCAUGCCCAGCUAAUUUUUGUAUUUUUAGUAGAGAUGGGGUUUCACCAUAUUGGUCAGGCUGGUCUUGAACUCCUGACCUCAGGUAAUCCACCUGCCUUGGCCUCCCAAAGUGCUGGGAUUACAGGCAUGAGCCGCUAUGCCCAGCCUGGGUAACCUUUUGGUAGAUGGACACAUGGCCUUUAACAAGGCAGCAGGUGUUUGACACUCCUGCCAAGGGGACCUUAGCACUGAGCAUUUUCAUCCUUUUGACAACCAGAUAUGAGAAGAAGGGUGUCUCACUUAUUUAUUGAGCAAAACAAAUAAUGCCUUUUGCCAAAGUGAUUUUAAAAACCUACCUCUCUGCUGGGCGUGGUAACUCAUGGCUGUAAUCCCAGGACUUUGGGAGACUGAGGCAGGCAGAGCACCUGAGGUCAAGAGUUUGAGACCAGCCUGGCCAACAUGAUGAAACCUCAUCUCUACUAAAAAAUUAGCCGGGCAUGGUGGUGGAUGCCUGUAGUCCCAGCUACAUGGGAGGCUGAGGCACAAGAAUCGCUUAAACCUGGGAGGCAGAGGUUGCAGUGAGAUGGGAUCGUGCCAUUGCACUCCAACCUGGGCGACAGAGUGACCAUUGCACUCCAACCUGGGUGACAGAGUGAGACUGUCUUGGAAAAAAAAAAAAAAAGUCUACCUCUCAACAUUGGGGAAGUGGCUGUAGGUGCCAGGAGUGAAGGGGUGGAGGGCUUCUGCCUUCUGCCACCACUCGCCCUGCUGCAUGGCUUCCUCAUUACUCUCCUGGACUUUGCAGAGAGGCCAGGCUGGCCAGAAGCAGUGUCUGGGCCUGGGCGGCUGCCCUCAGCCAAGGUCCAGGUCAGACCGUUGGGAUAGAGCAUCUGGGGAUGCUGCUGUCUCUGUUGGGUCUUACAUAACAUGCUUUUGUUGGCUUUGACCCUGCCUUCCCCUCUUCCAGUCCCCCAGACUCUGUUCCUUUCUCACUGCUGUGGCCUGAGUGCUGGCCUUGCCUACUGGGAGCUGCCCCAGCCUCCUCGGAGCCUCUAGUCCUUCCCACACACGCACACUGCCAAAGAGACCUUUCUAAACCCAAGCUGGGUCACGUUUGCCCUCCCUGUUGCCUGAGGAUCGAAGCAGAAAAACAGGAAUAGGAACCACUCAGCCUCCAUCCUGCGAUAACCACUUCAUCCUCUGGGAGUACUUCCCGUUUGCGUCGAUGGUUCGACUUUGCCGGACCGUGACUCAAGUUUGUGUCUUGCUGCUUUCACCACAUGAUUUAUGAUAAACAUGUCUCCCAGGUCAUUAAAACCUCCUUGGAAGCAUCCCCAAAGGCUGCAUUUUAUUCCAUCUGAGGACAGAGAGGGACAUUUUCUCAGCUUUUUCCCUAAUGCUGGACAUUAGGUUGUUUCUCACGUGUUGGUUUUUAGGGGCAAACAGAGCCACUGUGUGUGUUUUGUUUUUGGCUCUGAUCAACUGCCCUGCCGAAGGCUAAUUCAUGUCCCCGCCCAACUCUUCCUCUACUCUGCUUCCACCAACCUGGGUGUUUAGAGGGAAGCUCCUUCCUGACAUCUCUGAGCAUCGUUUGGGGGCUAGUGGGCUUGAAGGGGCUGCCUGUGAGCUGGGGACAGGACUGAUGACCAUGGGCUCUGGGCGUAUAGCCAUGUAGUCUAGCCUGUGAUGUGUAGGGAUGGAUGUAUUUUCUGUCUGAAGACAUGGUUGAUGGAACAGGGAGGGGCAGUCAUCAGGCUCUGAGUGAUAACUGUAGGAUUAGCAGCAGUUUAACUGAGCACUUGCUAUGUGCCAGAUCUUCCUUUGUCUGUAUUGUCUCAUUGAAUCCGCACGUCAGUGGUAGGCCUGAGCCCGGUAGUCCAAGGCCUUAGCUAUUUAAACUAAAUGCCCUUGUCAUCUGUGGUGCCUAGAUUGGGCAGGGGGACACUGUGAAAAAGGCCUCCAAGAGAGGCAGGCUUUUGGAAGCCAGGAGAGGAAGUGGGAGGAGGAGCCAAGUGGAAACAGAGUGGCUGUGUCAGGCUCCUAUAGGUUGCACAAAUCUAUCCCACCCAUCAUUACUCAGUCUGAGACUCAUGGCCUCUCUGACCAGCCACAUUCUCCUUCCCUGCGCCCCCCUCCUCGUUUGCCGCGGGCAGAGCUCAUGACUCACUCCACCCGGGACUCCUGCAAGCAUCAUCCUGCGGUUGCAGAAAUUCCUGCACUGCUUUUUCCUUCCCUGCCCCACCCCCAUCCACUUCUCUGCCAGAGGAAGAAUGGUAUUCUGCAGAUGCUGCUGGGCAGAAGUUUAAGGAAGGAGUCCAGGCGGAUGCCUAGGUUUAAAACCCUUGAGGGUGGAGCAAAGCCAUUCUCUUCUCCUGGUAGAAUCUUAGGGCCUGAGUCAUGGAAGACUACAAUCUUUUGAUCUCACAAAUUUUUAAAACUAGAAGAACAGGAAGUAUCUACCUCCUGGGACUGGUCCCGUUUUUGGAGCAAUGCUGAUUCUGGCCCACGAAGGUGAAGGGGCCUGCCUGGUUAUGUAGUGGAUGGUAAGCUUGAAGAAGCAGGGAGCCCAGAGAUUUUGGGGCAAGGCUUUGCAGUCAGACUGCUUGGGUUCGAGUCCUGGCUCUGACACUGGAUGGACAGGUGUUUGGGGACAAGUCAGUCACCCUCUCUGAGCCUUAGAGCCCACAUAUAAGAGGAUGUUAGUUCUGGUAUCUUAAGGUGUGAGGAUCAAGUACCUAGUCGGUGCAGCACAGUGUGGGUGGGAGGUGACAAUACAUGAGUGGCAGCUGUUAUGAUUGUUCAUUGCACUAACUUGGCACCCAGGGAGAUGUGCCAGGUCUGUCCUGUGGCCUCAUGCACCCCCUGCUCCCUGCCAUGUGCUCCAGGAAGUCGACAUGACCCACUCCCCUCCUAGGCAGCCCUGAAUAUGAGAACCUUCUUUCCCUCCAAGGUCAGAGGAGCACCAGCUUGUGGGCCUGGACACCUGGGGUAUUUAGUGUGUACUUGGAGGCUGGUGGGAUAGAGAUGUGGUUACAGCAACGUCAGUCCUUCAGCAGCAACAUCCGUUCUAUGCCUGGGAUUUGGAAGUACACAGAGGAAAAGGGUAAAAAGAUGGAUGGGAACAUGCUCCCUCCCUGCCUAGCUGUGUGUUAAGAACUAGACUUGUAAGCCUUAAGCCUGGUCCCAUUGACCAUCUGCUGUGUGACUCUGGACCAAUGACUAUACCUCUCUGUGGCUUUUCUCCCCGUCUGUGACCUCAAUACCAGUAUCUACUCUUGGGAAUUCUCUGCCUCUGAAAACCCUUGGUAGGGGUCUCAAGAUGCCUUCCAAAGGCAGGGCUGGGCCUCUAUGUAGACAGAGAGGUGUAUGCCCAUGAGACCAUCAAGGGGUGUGAUGAGCUCUGGCCCCCGACACACGGAGUCCUUUUUUCUUGUAUUAAUUCAGUUGAUAGUUAUUGAACACCUACUAUGUGCGCAGCACUGUGCUGGGCAGGAGGGACACGCAGAUGCAUACUCACAUGGUGCCUGCCUGUGGGUGCUUCCUGGCUGACUGUCCCUCCUCAGGGCAGGCAAUGUUCCCAAAGGGAAAGGCCUUCCUCGGGAAGGUGUAAGAGAGACUGGCCUGGGGUAGGCCAGCUUGCUGGGACUCAGGAUGGGAGGUAAAGGGAAGAACCACAGGGCUGGCCUUGGUGAGGCGGGACCUUUGUCCUGAGGGCCCCAGGGAGGCCUUGGAGGCAUUUUCAGGCAGAAGUGGCACCAGUGGGUCAGCUUGCAUGAGCGAUGUGAACCCCAUGGUAGGAGGCACUAGACCUGUGGGGGUAGGGGUCAGGUGCAGUGAGGGACAUGUGUGUACAGGGGCGUGGCAUGGCCAGGCCUCAAUGAUGGUGCUGUGCAGGGCUGGGGCGAGCUGAUGUCCAUGAUUCUUGGCCUACAGGAAAACCUGUAUGGAUUCUGUAGGUUGUUUUAUUAAGGCAGACCUCCAACCACUGGUCCUGUAGCGUCUGCUCCCACUCCUCCAGUGACAGGAAACUCAUUCCCUUCCCAGGCAGCCCUCAAAACGAGAACUUUCUUUUCCUUCAAGGGCAGAGCAGGAGCCUGGCCAGAUGCGGUGACUCACAUCUGUAUCCCAGCACUUUGGGAGGUCAAGGUGGGCGGAUCACAAGGUCAGGCGUUCGAGACCAGCCAGGCCAAUAUGGUGAAACCCCAUCUCUACCAAAAAUACAAAUAUUAGCUGAGGGUGGUGGUGCAUGCCUGUAGUCCCAGCUACUUGGGAGGCUGAGGCAGGAGAAUCGCUUGAACCUGGAAGGUGGAAGUUGCAGUGAGCAUCCAACUACACUCCAGCCUGAGUGACAGAGCUCAAAUUUAAAAAAAGAAAGAAAGAGGCUGGGCGCGGUGGCUCACACCUGUAAUCUCAGCACUUUGGGAAGCCGAGGUGGGUGGAUCCCGAGGUCAAGAGAUCGAGACCAUCCUGGUCAACAUGGUGAAACCCUGUCUCUGCUAAAAAUACAAAAAAUUAGCUGGGCAUGGUGGCGCGUGCCUGUACUCCCAGCUACUCAGGAGGCUGAGGCAGGAGAAUUGCCUGAACCCAGGAGGCGGAGGUUGUGGUAAGCCGAGAUCGCGCCAUUGCACUCCAGCCUGGGUAACAAGAGCGAAACUCCGUCUCAAAAAAAAAAAAGAAAGAAAGAACGAAGGAAAGAAAGGAGGGAGGGAGGGAGGGAGGGAGGGAGGGAGGAAGGAAGGAAGGAAGGAAGGAAGGAAGGAAGGAAGGAAGGAAAGCAAGGAGGGAGGGAGGGAGGCUGGGAGUCAGAGAGCCUGGUUUUGAGAUGCUAUCAGGACUGCCCUGUCGUUUGGCAGCUGCCUUCCCUUCUCUGGACCUCAAAUUCCUCAUCUGUAAAGUGGGCACAACAGCAUCCCAGACCCCCGAGGUGGUUGUGCAGGGUUGAUGAGAUGAUGUGAAGAGCUUUUCACACUCAGGGAACGUCAGCUCCUGGUUCAUCCGCUGUUACUGUUAUGUUAUGUUUCACACAGGACAUUGGCCAAGGGAGGCCCUUCUCUUGCAGAUCAGAAGUGCCAGGUGUGGGCCAGGGUGCUGGGUGGAGGCCCAGGGGGUAACUAGGCAUCCAGGAGGGGAGGAAGAAUAAAGUGUGGUUUGCAAAGUGCAGACACUUCCCCACCCAACCAUCUGUGGCCAAGCCAAUUGCAACUGCUGUCUGUCUUUCCCAUGCUGAGCAGAGCUAUUUGUGUCCAGCCAAGUUUGUGAAGCUUAGCACCUUCUCGAAGAGAAGUCUGUUGGGAAGAAGCCACCCACCCACCCGUGCUCCACUCACCUCUGAUUUACUCCACCUGCCAGGAGCCACUGAUGGGUGUAGGCUCCCCAGGAUGGGUGCCAGGUGACCUUUGGCAAGUCCUUCCUUCUCUCUAUGCCUCCUCCUCACUUUGCCUAUCUGUGCAAUGGCAUGCUCUUCCAGCUCUGACCUCUUGGGCACCUGUGGGCCCUGGGCUGCACUGAAGGCAACAGAGCAGGUGCAGAUUUCAGGAGGCGAUCUUGCUGUUGAAGGAAGAGCUUGCUCUGAAAGCUGUCCUGUGCCUGGGCCUGAGCUGGGAACUGGGGAUGAAGCAGUGACAUGAGCCCUGAUCUCAUGGAGCUCGUGCCAGCUAAGAAGGUUCCAUCAAGCUGGAUGUGCCGUGGCUCAUGUUAAAAAGCCCAUGGAUCUUUAUGUUUCCCAGAGUGCAUGUUGGUUUCAGUAUUCAGUCGGCCCAUCUCUAGAAGCAGCAUGUCUGGCCUUGACCGGGUGGCAGGAUGCUUCCAACACUGAAAGCUGUGUGGCCUUUGGCACUCAGCUCUCCUCCUCGCAGCUCCAGCUGUCACUGAGAUGUGACUGGUGCUCCCUGCCUUUGUGAUGGGUGCACUACACAGUUCCUGGCCUGUGGAGCAUUCUCAGUAAAUGGCAAUUGCGUUUUUUUUGUUUUGUUUUGUUUUGUUUUUUUUUUUAAUGGAGUCUCGCUCUGUCACUCAGGCUGGAGUGCAGUGGUGUGGUCUCAACUCACUGCAACCGCCGUGUCCUGGAGUCAAGCGAUUCUCCUGUCUCAGUCUCAUGAGUAGCUGAGACUACAGGUGCCAACCACUACACCUGGCUAAUGUUUGUGCUUUUAGUAGAGAUGAGGUUUCACCAUGUUGGUCAGGCUGGUCUCGAACUCCUGACCUUGUGAUCUGCCCACGUCGGCCUCCGAAAGUGCUGGGAUUACAGGAGUGAGCCACUGUGCCCGGCUGGCAAUUGCGUUUUAGCUGAGUUCUUAGGGGAGCUGUGUGCCAUUUGCCUGGCCUGUCAGAGAUUUAAGGGGUGAUUCAGGCAUCUAGAGGAGGAGGGAGCUGACAAUUGCUUCUGUUUUGCUUUUUGGUUUUGCUUUUUUUGAGAGCAGUGUUCUCUGGGAGGCGAAGGGAAGAAAAGAGAGCUGAGCUUGAGCUUUGGGAAGAGCAGGCCCUGGUGGGCUGGGGGAGGUGUCUCCCUGUCACCCCGCUGCACCUCCCACAGCCCCGCCUUGAUUUUGAGGUGCUGAUGGGAACUGUCUGCUUUCUUUUUCAGGCCCAGAACUUUCCUCCUCCUAGCCCACGAGGACCGUAUGAGAUCCUCUAACUAAUCCCCUCGUUUUUCUCAUGUCCGAGUACACUGAGGCCCAGGAAGAAGAAGGGACAUGCCUGUGCUCUCAGUGGCUGCAGAGCCUGGCCGGCACGCAGAGCCUUGACCCCAGCAUGAAGCUUUUCCCUCUGACUUCUUACUCCCAGCCCCCGGCACCCAUGCAGUGUGCCCCAGACGGCAGAAGAUGGUCAGGGAAGGAAUGAUUGGGCCGGGUGGGGCUGCAGAACUUAUAAUUAUGAGAACUGGGUAAACAAACAAGCUCUCCAGGAGAGAAGCAGGCCCUGUGCGGGCCUCACAGAUGGGCCUGUGUCUGAGGAGGCAGCGCAGGCCUGUCUACACACAGACAGUGAGGGGCUGUGUUAGACUGGAAAAGCCGAAGCCACACUCCCCUCCUACCCCCACUCCUAUAUUUCAGGCUGCCAGGAAAAGGGGAGGGGGAAAGGGGAGCCCUUCCUUCCAAAGGGGUGGGGGCCGACCCCUGAGGACUCGCCCAGGGUCAGCCCUCCUGGCCCAGCUUGGGAUAGUCACAGCUCACUACGUGACCUUGGUCCAGGGGCAUCUCUCCUCUGGGCCUCAGUUUCCCAUCUCUAGAGUGGAGGGGACCCCAUCUCUCAAGGAGGAUGGCAGGAUGGGGAAGAUUUGAGCCAACCAGUUGAAUACACUGAGCCCUUUCUCUCACCCUGACCCGAGGCCAAGUGGGAUCACAGAAACUCUUCAUUUCUCUCUGGCCAGAGGCAGGGGCCCUUCUCGGAGCAGAAGAGUGACUUUCUCAGUGACCUGAGAGUGGGCCUGGUCCUGGGAGGCCAAACCUCCAAUCCUGGCCCGGCUGUAGCAGGCUGCCCAGCUCAGCUUUCCUGUCUUCCUGCUGAGAUUGUGGCAGAAUCCCAGAGGAGCUGUUUCUGGUGCCUGCCCUGCAGGCUGGGGGCUGGGCGGCUUGCUCUGCCUGGAGGCCCCCAGGUGGGGUCUGGCAGACUUCCUGUGUGAUUCGGGCUGGGCCCCUGCCCUCCCUCCCCUCUUUCUGCAGUUCCCUGUGUGGCUUCUGGGAGUCCAGCUCUGUAGGUCGGAGGCCGGUUUAGCCUCAGACCUCUGUGGCCUUGGGUGACUCCUACCUCUCCUGCAGGCCUCAGUUUCCCCUAUGGUUCAACAGAGGGGUUGGAUAAGAGCCUCUGGUAAUAGAGUGACCUUGCUAUUUACCAUAUGUCACCCUCCUUCAGAUUGACCCUUCCAGUCUAUCCUGUGCCCUCAAGGUCAAGUCCAGACCCUGAAAUGUCCUCACAGCCCAAGCCCUACAGCCAGGAGCCCCACACCUGGCAGGCUGAAUCAGGCUCUUCCUCCAGUCUCCCACAACCCCUUGGUUACCUGUGUGAACCUGUAGCCCUUCUUACAUGGUUGUGAUUCUUUUUUCUUUUUCUUUUUUGAGACAGAGUCUUGCUCCGUUACCUAGGCUGGAGUGCAGUAGUGCAAUCAUAGCUUACUGUAGCCUUGACCUCCCAGGCUCCCGAAAUCCUUCUGCCUCAGUCUCCCCAGUAGCUGAGACCCCAGGUGUACACCACCACACGGGACUAAUUUAUUUUUAUAUUUUGUACAGAUGAGUUUCCCUGUGUCACCCAGGCUGGUCUCAAACUCCUGAGCUAAGCAGUCUUCCUGCCUGGCCUCCCACAGUGCUGGGAUUACGCAGCUCAUGGUUGUGAUUCUAAUUCCUACCUAUGAUACGAAUACCUGAGGGCUCACUCUGGGCUCCCCUGAGGUGGACAGGUGGCUCACAGCUCAGACUUGCUCCACCAGCAACUGAACAAGUGCCCCUAGGUCAGGUGCCGGGACGCUUUAUACCUUAGUUUCAUUAGCUGUAAAAUGUGCAUGAUAAUACUUCUCUACUGGAUCUAUAAAUUAUGUGUGUAAAGCACAAGAAAUGCUUAGGAGUAAUAACUGUAAUGAACAUUUAUUAGUGCAAAUUGUUUUAGUCCCCUAGGAGGAAUGAAUGAAUGCAUGCAAGCAUGCCAUUGCAAAGUCCUACAUCCUGGGAGCACAGGGACCCCAAAGCUCUCUGGAUGAAGGGCCUGGUAGGUGCAAAAUGUGUGUGUGUGGGGGGGAGGGGGAGCUGUGGUGGUUACAGAGGGGCAGGCCAGAUGUAGGCGGGGCCUGGGAUGGUGACAUCCCCCCUGCCCUUGUGGAAGGAGUGGUUUGGGCCCCUCCGUGUCUCAGACCCGCAGGCACCAAGUGAGUGUGGCCAUCCACAGCUUCCUUCCUCCCGCCUAUAUUCCUCAAAGCGUGACUCACUGGCUUCCAGCCCUUCAUUCUUGUCCUUGAGCCCUGAGGGUGAGGCGGGUAGAGAGUCUUUCUUGGAUGGGCCAGCCCUCUCUCUGGGUUCCUCUCUGUUCCUGGCCCUUCUGCAGCUCCUAAGUGUGACAGGCAAGAUGGAGGGGUGGGGGUACGGUGGGGGGGACAACUGGGCCCUGGUCCUGGCAGCCCCACUGACCCCCUGUGUGUCAGGCCUGGGGUAGGCACCCACUCAGGGCCCACCCAGGGCUUGGAUCUGAGCUGGUGUGACUGAAACAGCCCAGUCAAACUCGCCCAGGUCCUGCCCUGGCAGACUCUUGGCUAAGCAGGAGACACACCAAACACCACUCAGUCAUUUAUUAAAAUCAUUACCGGAGGGCAAAUUGCUAUAAAGAAAUGGCCACUCUUCCUUGGGAGCUCAUGUGUCCUGGGAUCUCCCCAGCAGUACCUGUGGUUUGCUCUCCCAUCACAGAAGAGGACACACAGCCCACUGAAUGGGUGGGGGAGCAGGCUCCGAUCUGGGGCAAGUCCCAUCCCCAGCUGGGCCUCAGGAUCUUGUCGCCCGUCUUAGAGGUGUGCUGUUCAAGUGAUAUGUCCACCUUGGUCUCCCAGAGUGCUGGGAUUACAGGCAUGGGCUGCCGCUCCCUGCCGACAUGUGCUGUUCAGGAGGCCUGGGGUCUGCCACUGGCCCCCCAUGGUUCUGGGUGGGUGGGCUGGCAUCGGGCUUUAGCCUGGGGACUAUGGAACUGCAGUGAAAACUGGGUUUGUCAUCCUGAAAUCCCUCCUUUAUGUGUCCCUAGAUAGAAAUAUGUGUGUCCCAGAAACUACUGUGACUAAAGUAUUGGGACCUUCUAAAGGCAAGAAAUGGGGGCUGGUGAGGGUCUCAUCCCCUCCCCUCUCCCUCCACCAAUACAUGGGACAUCAGAAAGGUGGCCCAAAGCUCUGGGAGAAACCUACCGGGAUAUUUCACACCUAGAACGUACCCCAUUAAGUAACAAAAUAGUUACAUUAUAGCAUGGGGGGGUAUGGAAUGGAAAUAGUGUAUUAAUAGGCAUUGUUCAAUGGCAUAAUAUGUAGCCAUUACAAGUGAUGAUUCCUUUUUGUAUGUUUGGAAGGGUGUAUGUUUGUAUUGGCAUAGAACAAAAUAAGGAAAGAAAUUCACCAAAAUAUAAAUAGAGAUUAUUUUGGGGUCGCAGGAUAAUGGAUUAUUUAAACUUUUUAAAUCUCUCCUGAUUUUUUUUUUUUUUUUAACAGUAAGUAUGUUAAAUCAAAAAGAAUAACCUGGUUGGGCACUGUGGCCUGUAAUCCUAACACUUUGGGAGGCUGAGGUGGGCGGAUCACCUGAGGUCAGGAGUUUGAGACCAGCCUGGCAACAUGGUGAAACCCCAUCUCUACUAAAAAUACAAAAAUUAGCCCUGGUAUGGUGGCACAUGCCUGUGGUCCCAGCUACUCGGGAGGCUGAAGCAGGAUGAUUGCUUGAACUCAGGAGGCAAAGGUUGCAGUGAGUCAAGUGUCAGAGCAAGACCCUGCCUCAAAAAAAAGAAGAAUAAUAACUCUAUUGACAGUAUUUAGUGGAACAAUUUGAUUCCUGUCUGACUUCAGAAUCUAAGCCAUGCUGGCCUGACCAGAGCCCCAAGGGGGUUGCAAGCACAGAGAGGGGAAGAGGGCAGAGAAAAUUCUGGAAGAGAGGUGUUUGAGCUGAAUCUUGGAGAGCAGGAGGGAUUUUAUCCAGCAGAGUUGGGGUAAGGGUGACAAGGGGGCAUGGCCUAGCAUAGACCCUUGCUUAUUCAAGGCAGGGAGCUGAGCGCAGCCUUGAACGCCAGGCAGAGGGCUGGGAGUGGGGAGUGCUUCUCAUAAACACUUGUUAGCUGGACUUUAGAAUGAGGACUUAAGUUCUGCAACAAGGGCAAGAGAGUAACAAACUCGUGUUAGGCUCUUUCUAUGUGGCCAGCCUGUGAGCCCCCAAUGGCUGUGAGCAGAUGAGGUUGCAAUAGUUUAGCCCAGAGAUGGCAGAUGGAUUCCACAAAUACUGAGUCUCUCUCUGUGAUCAGUGCUGAAGGCUGAGUGUGGGUGGGGGCAUUGGGAUGGUGAGGAGUGGUUGGGUCCUGUCCCACUGGGAAAGCCUAUGACCCUUCAGACCUCCAGCCUGGAGGUGUCCCUGCUAAUUAAAAAAUAAAAAGCCAGGCAUGGUGGUACAAGCCUAUAGUCCCAGCUAUAUGGGAGGCUGAGGUGGGAGGAUUGCUUGAGCCUGGGAGGUUGAGGCUGCAGUCAGCUGGAUCAUGCCACUGUUCUGCAGCCUGGGCAACGGAGCAAGACAGGCCUUCAGGCCAGACAGAGCUCCAGGUUCCUGGGGUAAUGUGCAUGGAAUGCUGGUACCUGCCAUAGAACUUGGGUGGUCAGAGGCAUGUGCUACACGAGGCUGAGCACAAGGACCCCUUUCUGCAGUGCUUAGGGCUUCCCCUCUGCCUGUUUCCAUGAUGACCUCAUGGAGGUCAUCAAGCUCUCUGCCUCUCCUUACCCAUUUGUAGUGUGGAGGUGGUUGCAGAUACCUUCAAGAGAGUUGUUGUGAAUUUUACGUGGGGGCCACCCUGGUACCUGGCAUACAGCAAACGCUCAGGAAAAGAGUUUCUGUCCUCGGGGUUCAGUACCCAGCCAGGGGACUUCUGCCGUCCUGGAGGAGUCUCAGCAGUCUGAACUUGAUGGACAGGAUGGUCCAAGAUCAGGUUGCUGGGUGGUGAGCUCUUACCUCCCCCUCAGACCCUCUUUGGCUCCCAUCUGCCAGCAUCUGCCAAAGGUCAGGUUCUCACAGACCUGGAGGCUUGACCUUUCAACUGUGAGCUUUCCCAGUCUUCCCCUUUUGUCAUCCCCCCCCUCCGUUUAUUAUUGUUGUUGUUACAUAAGCAAUAUCUAGUAGUCAAAGAAAAUUGGAAAAUACAGUUAAGUAAUAGGAAGAAAAUGAAAAUCACCAAUAAUCCUACCAACCAGAAAGGACUUUCAGGCACUUUCCUGAUACAUAAUUUGUUUUUCUACCUUAAUAGUGGGUGGUGGGCCUCCACAUACCUGUCAUCCUCCUUGUUGACUAGAUACAGAAUAUUUCGUUAUGGCUGGGCAAGGUGGCUCAUGCCUGUAAUCCCAGCACUUUGGGAGGCCGAGACAGGCAGAUCACCUGAGGUCAGGAGUUUGAGAACAGCCUGGCCAACGUGGUAAAACCCUGUCUACUAAAAUUGCAAAAAUUAACUGGGCAUGGUGGUGUGCGCACCUGUAAUCCCAGCUAUUUGGGAGGCUGAAGCAGGAGAAUCGCUUGAACCUGGGAGGCAGAGGUUACAGUGAGCCCAGAUCACAUCACUGCACUCCAGCCGGAGGGAGGGAGGGAAGGAGGGAGUGCAGUGGUGUGAUCUCUGCUCGCUGCAACCUCUGCCUCCUGGGUUCUGUUGAUUUUCCUGCCUCAGCCUUCCAAGUAGCUGAGACUACAGCAUGUGCUACCACAUCUGACUGAUUUUGUCAUUUAUUUAUUUAUUUAUUGAUGGAGCUUUGCUCUUUCACCCAGGCUGGACUGCAGUGGUGCAAUCUCCACUCACUCUAACCUCUGCCUCCCAUGUUCUAGCAAUUCUCAUGCCUCAGCCUCCCAAGUAGCUGGGAUUACAGGCGCCCACCACCACACCCAGCUAAUUUUUGUAUUUCUAGUAGAGACGGGGUUUCACCAUGUUGGCCAGGCUGGUCUCGAAUUCCUGACCUCAGGGGAUCCGCCUGCCUUGGUCUCCCAAAGUGCUGGGAUGACAGGCAUGAGCCACAGUGCCCGGCCAAUUUUGUAUUUUUUAGUUAAGACCAGGUUUCACCAUGUUGGCCAGGCUGGUCUCAAACAUCUGACCUCGUGAUCCACCUACCUCAGCCUCCCAAAGUGUUGGGAUUACAGGUGUAAUCGAACCUGGUUUGAAGUCUUUUUUUUUUUUUAAAAAGCCAUCCCGUCUGUCCUUUGUGGGGCAGGGAUCGCUGGCUUCCCUUUUUCUAAUGGGGACACAGAAGCAGAGUGACCAUGUGCCCCAGCGGAGUAACUGGCAGACUCUGGCCUUUCAUCGGCCCAGCACAGAGGGGCCAGAGGGGCUUGAAGUGCAGGAUCUGCCAGCUCUGGAUUCCCGGCUCUUUGCAGGUGAAGGAUCAGUUAACAGGAUCCAAGCAGGAAGAGGACAUGGAGAAUCUGAGCUUAGGUGACCACCUUAGUUUGCAUGACAGGGUGGUGACCUUUUCUGCUGCUUAUGUGUGACCUUGGCCUGGCCCAGCCCCAAAUCCAGCCCUACCUUUGUGGGAAGGAUGCUGCCUCUUGGGCCAUGCUGGGGUUGGAGAGACCCUGGUUUAUAUGGCCCUUGGGGCUGGGAAGGGUCUGUCCUGAAGCUGGAGUUAACCUUUCUGGGAAAACCUCAUCCUCCUCUGCUGUCUUAACACACCAGGGAGACUGAACUGUGUGGUCUAAUGUCACACAGUCAGGGGAUGAAUAUGUAUGUACAAAGUGCUGUGCUAGAUGCUGUGCAUAUGUAAUGAGUGAGAUAGACAGGGUCCCUGCUGUCCUGGGGCAAAUAGACACAGAACAAUGAAUUAUUGCUCUGGAGCCUAAAGACACCUGCAGCUAGUGACCUGAGGGUGGGGCAAGCCCUGCGCCUGCUGGCCGAGCUCAGAGCACAGACCAAGGGAGUCUUGUUAUUUGAAUAAACUUUCGUUUUUCUAUCCGCGUAAAGGGUCCCUGGCAUUCCAGCCUGGGAUUGGGUUUCCUCUGGCCCAGCGGCAAGCACAUGAGUGGAUUUUCAUAUUGGCUCAUCUUUCUCAUUCUCUGCUCCCCCUUCUUUCCCUCCCUGGCUUUGAGAAGGCAGAAUCCCCCCUCCUCAAUCCCACUUGCUGAGAAGACCCUGCGAGCCAGAAGCUGCAGGCAGCAGCAUGCAUAUGUGUGUGCACAUGUGUAAGUGUGCAUGUGUGUGAGUACACGUGUGUGUGAGUAUACCUGUGUGUGGGCACCCACAUGUGUGAAUGUGCAUGUGUGUGCAUGCACCUGUGAGUGCAUGUGUGUGGACAUACAUGUGUGUGUGAGUGGUGGGUGAGCAGGGGUCACGGGGCAGCUUGGGAAGAACCUGACUUGGACUUAGUGAAAAGGGUGUUGGCCAUAGAGGUGCUUGGCUAAUGAAAUGUGUGGGGUUUGUGUAUCCAAGUUUAGUCCUUUUCCAUUGGGAUUGGGCCACAGUGACUGGCACAUUUUAGUUAUUAGUUCUUAUUGGAACAGAUGCUGGCAUUUAUUGGGUUCUUCCUGGCAGUCAGGCAGGGUGACAGGUGCACCUCACACAUUGUUAGUCCUCAUGACAACUCUUGGAGUGGGUACUCUUUGACCCUCCAGCCUCUGCUUGUACACCUCCAGUGAUGAGGCACUCCCUGCCUCCCAGGGUCCCCUACCCUAUUCUGGGCAUCUGAGGCAGUUAGAAAGCCCUUGCUGGGAUCCUGUCUGUCUCCUGUGGAUAACUUGAGGAUGGGCUCUGUUUGGCCAGGUAUGACUACAGCUGACCUUCCCCAGCAUCUGUUUUUCAGGGAAUUAUCCAACUCUAAGGUUUGGGGAGAGGAGCAAAGCCCUCCCUCCUUUCCCUGAGCAGCCCCUACCUGGUACUCAGCCUGUCACAUCUUCAUUCAUCACAUACCAAGCAAGUUUGAAACGUAAUGUUGAAACCCCAGAGGUACUUUCAUUAGCAUCAAUCCGGACAUCUUAGUCAAUGCAAUAAGACAAGAAAAAAAAAAAAGAGAGAAGUACAAAUAUAAGACAGCAGGAAAGCCCUCAUGGAGUUCAGCAAUUGUCAACAACAAAGCAUUUUUGGUCUUGGGACAUCUCCAUCCCCUGAGGCUGCCUACAGGAAGCAGAGUCCUGGAGGAACGAGGAAAUUGCCCAGGGCCACAUAUGAGUUAGUAGCAGAGCUGGAUGAGGACUCAGGGCCCUUGAUCUUCCCAACCAGCAUCUCUGAUGACAGACGCAACAGCUAAGGGAGACGCGGCAAGGCCAGAGUGUCCUCCAUACCAGUGUCCCGGGGCAGGGGGCCAUGGUCUGCCCAGGGUCUUGUGUGCGAUUUGUUUAGGCGUUGGCUUUCAGAGGUUUUCAUUGAUGUUUCUUGCUCCACUUUCCCUUCUGAUUAGUGUGAGGGACGAGGGUCCAGAGAUAUUGAACUCGAAGCAUGUCACCUCCUCCUGUGACCUGCCAGCUGAGGGACCACGGAGCUGCUGUUCUGGUCACCCUUUGCUGGUCCCCAUUGUGUGGCAUGAAAUGUGCGACAGAGAAGUGCCAUGAACCCUAAUGAAAGAUGUCACUGGCUGGGCAUGGUGGCUCACCCCUGUAAUCCCAGCCCUUUGGGAGGCCAAGGCGGGUAGAUCAUGAGGUCAGGAGUUCAAUACCAGCCUGACCAACGUGGUAAAACCUUGUCUCUACUAAGAAUAUAAAAAUUAGCUGGGCGUGGUGGCAUGCACCUGUAAUUCCAGCUACUCAGGAUGCUGAGGCAGGAGAAUUGCUUGAACCUGGGAGGCAGAGGUUGUGGUGAGCUGAGAUUGCACUACUGCACUCCAGCCUGGGUGACAGAGCAAGACUUCAUCUCAAAAAAAAAAGAGAGAGAGAGAGAGAUGCCACUAUAUACCGUGACUAUGUGUAUCUGGUGUCUGGCCACCAACGCUGGGACAGAUGGAGCUCCUUUGAGCAGUUCCAUCACUGCCAUUGAUAACACGAGCCCACGUUUGUCCAGGCCCUGCGGGUUUACUCAUUUCAUUGAAUCCUAUGCCACCCUGUAAGAUGGGGGAUCAUAAGGUUGCUAUUUCCUUUUUGUUGUCUGUUUUGAGAUGGAGUCUCACUCUGUUGCCAGGCUGGAGUGCAGGUGGUGCAAUCUCAGUUCACUGCAACCUCUGUUUCCCAGGUUCAAGUGAUUCUUCUGCCUCCGCCUCUCCAGUAGCUGGGAUUGCAGGCACACGCCACCAUGCCUAGCUUAUUUUUGUAUUUUUAGUAGAGAUGGGGUUUCACCAUGUUGGCCAGGCUGGUCUCAAAUUCCUGACCUUAGGUGACCUCACAAAGUGCUAGGAUUAUGGAUGUGAGCCACUGCACCUGGCCAGGUUGCUGUUACUCCCGUGUUACAGCUGAGGAAACAGGUUCAGAGAGAAUUGAGCCAUGUGUUGCAGCAAAGGAUGGAGUUAGGAUUCGAAGUGAGAUCUGGUUCCAGAACCUUGACACUGUACUGUUGAAGGGUUCUUCUUGACCUUGGAGGUACUGGUAAAUAUUUGUGGAAUGGAUUAACUCUUUCAUGCAUGUCCGAAUCUUUGCUUUUCCUGGGUCCUCUGCUUUGCACACACUCCCUUCUCAGCUUCCUCCUUCUGCUAGCAGGGACUCUUCGUGUCUCAGCUGCUGCCUCCCUCUGGGAGGCUUCCCUGACCCUGUAGGCUGGGUCAGUCGCCUUCCUGGGCUCCUGUGACCUCCUGUGCUUCUCCCAGUUGGGGAUCCUAGAAAUUGCAGUUUUUGUUGACAAUCUGUCUCCCUCAUUAGGGUACUCUCUCCUGAGUAUCCAAUGACCUGGGAUUGCUGAUUAUGACGGAGGGCAACAUAAACCCUUUCUUGGCCAUCGUGAUGAAGCCUCAGAGCUUCCUCUGACCUUGGCACCUCACCUGCCAUCUGCCAUUUUGGCCUGGCAUGUGCUGGCUGAUGGAGGACAUGGGAUCUGGGCUGGGUCCUGUCCUCAGCCCUGCCCUGGUGGUUGUGACCUGGCUGAUGGGGCAGGGCUGGGUGGUGACACUGGUGACAUCCUGGGGGAAGGGCUUAACCACAGGCUCUUCCUGGACAUCUCAAGGUCCAGUUCUAGGUGGGACACCAAGGGGAACGUUGGUGGUGGGGUCUCAAACAGGCCCAGGGUAGGGGUCCAGGCCUGAGGAGUCACCUGCCAAUGUGCAUGAGCCACAGCAAACCACCCUGGUUCCCAGUCCAGCCUCAGCCUUGGACGUGGCUGACAGAGAGAUUAUGAGCACCUGGGGACAGGCGGCGUGGGGAUGCUCCUCUGGAGCCUGGGGCAGUUUUGACAGGUGGCUGGCUGAGACUCAGGCUCCCAUGGGGGUGGUGAGGAUGGCAAGAAAGGAAUGAAGGUCAGAGAUGUUGCUGAGAAACCAACAGGAAUGGGCGACUCCAUGUGAGGGGAGGGGAGGGGAGGGGAUGGGGAAGGGAGGGGAAGGUCUGCACAAUUCCUGUCAUAGAUCAGCCUCCUCCUCGGGCGUGGCCUCGGU